rnacentral:rRNA from 1 species
UACAGAGGGUGCGAGCGUUAAUCGGAAUUACUGGGCGUAAAGCGCACGUAGGUGGCGACGUAAGUCGGGUGUGAAAGCCCCGGGCUCAACCUGGGAAUUGCAUUCGAGACUGCAUUGCUGGAGUACGGAAGAGGAAGGCGGAAUCCCCGGUGUAGCGGUGAAAUGCGUAGAUAUCCGGAGGAACACCAGUGGCGAAAGCGGCCUUCUGGACUGUAUCUGACGCUCAGACGCGAAAGCUAGGGGAGCAAACGGG